AUCGUUGCAAGUGUGAGGUGUUAAAGACAAACUACAUGACUUCAUUCACGACACAGACCUUGACCCACAACGUUGGAGCCCUGAACGAUCAUGAAUGUCAGUGAUACUUGUGUCCCUGGAAAUAGCACAUGUCCCGUGCCCAGCUCCUCUGCAGGUUUAGCUGUUGGGUGACUUUCUUCUUUCUACUGCUUGUGAUCAUUGCUGGUGUUAUCGUGUACAAAUACCACAGUAAAAUGAGGAAUAUGUUGCAGUUUGUACAAACCAAAAGACAGAAAAAGGAAGAUGAUCUAGAAACACCACAAGAUGAUUCUCAUCAUUAUACCGGCAUGAUCAGAGAACAGACAACUGGACAGACCCCUAUUUAUGAAAACCUGACAAGCAGAACUGGACACAACAGGCCUACCGUAAACAACAGCAGGUUGCCCGGUGAACCUGAAGAGGAUGUGUACUUGCAGUGUGAUUCCCCAGAUGACGCAAUAUACAGCAACGAUCCGGCAUGUAAUCUCUCCAUCCUCCCAGACUUCCAAGAGGAAGAUGUCUACAUUGUGCCAGAUUCAUAAAAGGAUGCAUAUCCAUUCACUGCAAAAAUAUGCUGACCUGUAAAUAAAGACAAAUACUGUAAUGUCUGUAGUGUACAGGUAAGAUAUAUCUUAUUGUUGUAUGUCAUUUGCCAAACCAAUUG